GUUGAACGCUGGCGGCGUGCCUAAUACAUGCAAGUCGAGCGAACGGACGAGAAUCUUGCUUCUCUGAUGUUAGCGGCGGACGGGUGAGUAACACGUGCAUAACCUGCCUAUAAGACUGGGAUAACUUCGGGAAACCGGAUCUAAUACCGGAUAAUAUUUUGAACCGCAUGGUUCAAAAGUGAAAGACGGUCUUGCUGUCACUUAUAGAUGGAUCCGCGCUGCAUUAGCUAGUUGGUAAGGUAACGGCUUACCAAGGCAACGAUGCAUAGCCGACCUGAGAGGAUGACCGGCCACACUGGAACUGAGACACGGUCCAGACUCCUACGGGAGGCAGCAGUAGGGAAUUUUGGGCAAUGGGCGCAAGCCUGACGGAGCAACGCCGCGUGAGUGAUGAAGGUCUUCGGAUCGUAAAACUCUGUUAUUAGGGAAGAACACAUGUGUAAGAAAACGUGGAGAUCAUGACGGUACAGAAAGAGAAAGCACCGGCUAACUACGUG
rnacentral:rRNA from 1 species